rnacentral:rRNA from 1 species
GACGAACGCUGGCGGCGUGCUUAACACAUGCAAGUCGAACGAAGUGGCGAAGGGGGGAGUAAUACGUGGGUAACCUGCCCUCCUUUUUGGGAUAAGCCUUGGAAACGGGGUCUAAUACCGAAUAAAGGGGGAUGUGCUCGCGGCCUGUCGGCUUGUUGGUGGGGUGAUGGCCUACCAAGGCGGUGACGGGUAGCCGGCCUGAGAGGGUGACCGGCAACAUUGGGACGGAGAUAAGGCCUAGACGCGUACGGGAGGGAGAAGUGGGGGAUAUUGCACAAUGGGCGAAAGCCUGAUGCAGCGACGCUGCGUGGGGGAUGAAGGCUUUCGGGUUGUAACCCUCUUUCGCUAUCGAAGCGGUAGGUGGAGAAGAAGCGCCGGCUAACUACGUGCCAGCAGCCGCGGUAAUAC